GGCCGGGAGUCCGGAGGGUCCGGAGCCCGGGAGGGCACAGAGGCUGGAGGAAAGUUGUGGGAUCCGAGCCCCAGCCGCCGCCGGAGCCGGAGCCGCCGGGGCGAGGACCACCCAGCGGGGAUCCGGCACGACCUUCGGACCCGCCCAGUUCGGCUGCCCGGGUCGCCCCGGGGUCGGGGGCAGCCGCGGGGGCCGCGGGCGGGAGGCGUGAACCCGGGGGCUGCAUGAUGCGCUCCAAACACAGGGGCCCCGGGGCUGUGCGGGGCACCCUGCCGGGCAGAGGUCACAUCCUCAGAGCAGAUAUCACCUUCCUGGAAGAAACCAGUGUUUUCUGAGGAACUCAAGUUCACAGUGCAGAGGAAGAAGGGAUGAAGAACAGAGAGAAAGAGAGAGAAAGCCCUUGCGUCCUCAGGUCCUAACAGCAUCGUCAGACAGGGUGAGUAGGAUCUGCCCCAGCCAGCACCUUCCUGGGACGUUCCAGCAGGAAAGCAGCAGCUUCUACAAACGGCCACUUGUUGACAAGGUGUAGGUGCAGCGGUAUCAUUGCAAGAGGAAGAAUCUGUGAGAAAAAGAGAAACAAAUGUUUACUGAAAGACAGCGGCCUUUGGGGUACCAAGAAGCUGGGGUCUGGGAAUAUCGUCCUCCAUUGAUGAUCCUCUAAGUGAGCUUGUUUCCGGAAAAAGAAAAAAAAAAAAGCAGCAAUAUUUCUAAGGCUGCCCAGCCAGCUUUUCCCUUAAUAAGAGUGAGCUCCCCGACAAGUUAUGGUGGUUAGGGAUAGAAAUGCAUUAGCAAAAUAAGCAAGCUGAUAAACUUCUACUAGACCCCGUGGAGAACUUUUUCCCCCCGUGUGUUCAAAACUGAAAGCUGAUUGCCAUAUCAUCUGUACUUACAGGACCCUCUUACACAGGCAGGCACUUAAAGAACUUGUGCAAUUGCUGAAAUUGAGAGGAUUACCCUGAUAGCCCUGGUCAGAGCUUAGUGGAAAAUGCACUUUCUUAAAUGCACUAUUCUUAAAAUAGAUGAGGCAGACUCUUCUUGGGCCAGGAGGUGAAGCGAGAGUGUAUAUAAUUUGAAGGUGGCAGGUGGCAGAGGGGAAAUGGUUUUUGCUUUUUCCUAAUUUUCGGUCAUCAUUGUCUUGAAUGUACAGGGUGGUUUUAGUCUCAGCCCUAAUGGCAUACAUUGAACCAUCAACAGUACCACCAAACAAAGGAUGGUGAAUUCUACACAUCGUCCAUGGGAAGUGUUCACAGAAACUCAUUUCAUGUGGUUUUCCAAAGCGGAAUGGAAUCCAGUUAUUUUGAGUGGCUUAAGCAAAUAUCUGCUAUGUUUCUCAGGCAGACAAACAUGGCAAAUAUCUGCAGAGGACAGACGUCUGUCCUCUUUCCGAGGGACAUCCAAGGAGACACAGUAGCUGGGCAGCCGACCCAAGGCCACACUUCCUGGGGACACAGGGCAGAAAUUAGAAGGCAGGGCUGCUUCAGGGGACAAGGAAGGCAACCUGGAACAUUUGUCUUCCUGUGGAACAGAAUCCAUAGAUAAUUUGGGGCAAAAAUAACACUCCUGAUAUUCAUCAACUGAGUCAAAAAGCAGAGCUAUCUAGAAUGGGGUGAAUUAGGGUGAAUUAGGAUAUCCUCAACAUCCUUGUGAAGUUGCAAGCACAGCCUUUCUUUUUCAACUCUUUUUUUUUUUUUUUAAACCGGGUUGUCCUGUUCUAAUAAAUUUAUUUACUCAUUUAUUUA